rnacentral:rRNA from 1 species
CCUACGGGAGGCAGCAGUGGGGGAUAUUGCACAAUGGGGGGAACCCUGAUGCAGCGACGCCGCGUGGGUGAAGAAGCGCCUCGGCGCGUAAAGCCCUGUCAGCAGGGAAGAAAAUGACGGUACCUGAAGAAGAAGCCCCGGCUAACUCCGUGCCAGCAGCCGCGGGAAUACGUAGGGGGCAAGCGUUAUCCGGAUUUACUGGGUGUAAAGGGGGCGCAGACGGCGAGGCAAGCCAGGAGGGAAAGCCCGGGGCCCAACCCCGGGACUGCGUUUGGAACUGCGUGGCUAGAGUGCAGGAGGGGCAGGCGGAAUGCCUGGUGUAGCGGUGAAAUGCGUAGAUAUCAGGAGGAACACCGGUGGCGAAGGCGGCCUGCUGGACUGCAACUGACGUUGAGGCCCGAAAGCGUGGGGAGCAAACAGGAUUAGAUACCCGAGUAGUC